rnacentral:rRNA from 1 species
UGGGGAAUCUUGCGCAAUGGGCGAAAGCCUGACGCAGCGACGCCGCGUGAGGGAAGAAGGCCUUCGGGUUGUAAACCUCUUUCAGGAGGGACGAAGCUACUCGGGUUAAUAGCCCAGAGGGUGACGGUACCUUCAGAAGAAGCCCCGGCUAACUACGUG